rnacentral:rRNA from 1 species
GACGAACGCUGGCGGCGUGCUUAACACAUGCAAGUCGAACGGAAAGGCCCUGCUUUUGUGGGGUGCUCGAGUGGCGAACGGGUGAGUAACACGUGAGUAACCUGCCCUUGACUUUGGGAUAAUUUCAGGAAACUGGGGCUAAUAUCGGAUAGGAGCUCCUGCUGCAUGGGGGGGGUUGGAAAGUUUCGGCGGUUGGGGAUGGACUCGCGGCUUAUCAGCUUGUUGGUGGGGUAGUGGCUUACCAAGGCUUUGACGGGUAGCCGGCCUGAGAGGGUGACCGGCCACAUUGGGACUGAGAUACGGCCCAGACUCCUACGGGAGGCAGCAGUGGGGAAUAUUGCACAAUGGGCGGAAGCCUGAUGCAGCAACGCCGCGUGCGGGAUGACGGCCUUCGGGUUGUAAACCGCUUUCGCCUGUGACGAAGCGUGAGUGACGGUAAUGGGUAAAGAAGCACCGGCUAACUACGUG